UAACCCUUGCCCAUCCUUUGAUGGGCAAGUAGCGAGUGAGGCAGUGAGCCAAAUUGGCUCUUGCAUUCGCGGAGCCGAUAGGCUAGUCUCCACAGUAGUAAUUUUACAAUUUAGAUUAGGUUUGGAUACUGUCUUUCUCAUCUGACCUCCCAAGGCACAGCCUUCUUCUCCAAAAGCUACUUUGAGGUCUCCUUGAUUGAUGAAUGGCUUAUUGCUGCUAGGGAGUAAAGUAUGGAGUUAGAGGUCCAAAAGCAUAGGUUAAAGAGUGUGGCAGAACAAGUUUAUGUUAAUUCUUAUUCAUUUCUUCCAUAAAAAGUUUUUCACUUUUUUUUUUUCUCUACAAUCUUUAAUCUUCAUUACUUUAUUUAUUCAUAAUCCAAAUUUCUGACAUGAUAGCUGCGUUUUCAAUAGAAGAACAAGAGCAGGGAGAGUGCAACCUCUGUGUAACUCUUGUGAUUCCUUGUUUGGUGAGAUGGAAUUGUAAUUUCAGUCCUACCAAACUCAUGGUGGAAUUGCAAUUCUGUUGAAUCCUGUUGAACCCUGGAAUUGUAAUUUCAUGGUAAAUUACUAUUUUACUAUUUUCUUAUUAUUAUAUUAUUAUACAUGGACAUUUUAAUCUUUAUUUA